rnacentral:rRNA from 1 species
UACGUAGGUGGCGAGCGUUAUCCGGAAUGAUUGGGCGUAAAGGGAGCGUAGGCGGCUUAGUAAGUCAGAAGUGAAAGCCCUCAGCUCAACUGCGGGACUGCUUUUGAAACUGCCAGGCUAGAGUGUCGGAGAGGUAAGUGGAAUUCCUAGUGUAGCGGUGAAAUGCGUAGAUAUUAGGAGGAACACCAGUGGCGAAGGCGGCCUGCUGGACUGUAACUGACGUUGAGGCUCGAAAGCGUGGGGAGCAAACAGG